AAAAGGGUCCGCCCCGGACUGUACCAUGUUUUUGUGGGGGGUUGAGGCUCCCGGGGAUAAAAUAUGCACAGAGCCCAGGAGGGCAACAUGUCCUGAACUGUACGGGACAGAGUUUAUAGAGUAUGGAAAAGGGAGCUGGAGUCUCGGUGUCUGAAAGCACGCCUGGUUGUCCCAACGGUCGCCAUGUCCUUCUCACAAGCCUCUCUCGCAGACAUUAGUACGGUCCAGCAGCUGGAACGUGGGCAGGGAAUUUGAGCACGUGCGGGACGAUCAGGACCCUGUGGGUUCCCGUGUUCUUAUUUGGCUGCGCUUUCCUCGGGCUACAGAUGGGGGCCUGGCCUGGAGUCAAAAGUGUUGGGAUUAGUUAGGUUACCGCUGGACUUAACUUACCCAAGUGCCGCAGCCUUUCCUCUUCUCAGGAAGAACAUAAGAGUGAUGGAGUCUAUCAAGAAGAACCUAGAGCGAUGGAGUCUACUACCUGUAAUCCUAGCUCUCCCUCUCCCUCUCCCGCUCCCGCUCCCGCUCCCCCGCCUCUGUGUGUGUGUGUGUGUGUGUGUGUGUGUGUGUGUGUGUGUGUGUGUGUGUGUGUGUGUGUGUGUGUGUAUGUAUGUAUGUGUACGUGUACAUGAGCGCGCUGAGGCAGGAAGGUCAAGAGUUUGAAGCCCGGCCAGGCUACAUAGUAACCCUGUCUCCAAACACCCGGGACAGAAACAAUAAGGCAAUACUACAGACAUAGUGAGUGAUGCACUUACUUCAAGUCCGGUUCAAGACCUCUCUUCCUCUCUUUUGCUCAACUUCAAGGUGAUUUUUGGUUGUUUGGCUUGGUUUGGGGGUGGUGGUGGUUUUUGUUUUGUUUUGUUUUUUCUUUCUUUCUUUUUUUUUUUUUUUUUUAGAGAUGGGGUUUCUCCUUGUAGCCCUGGCUGUCCUGGCACUCACUGUGUAGACCAGGCUGGCCUUGAACUCACAGAGAUGUACCUGUGUCUGACUUUAGUGCUGGGUUAAAGGCAUGUGCCACCAUGAGCAGUUUGCAGCUUCAGUUUUCUUUCACAUCAGUGAAAAUAGGAACACGCAUGACUGUUUUGUGAGAGGCUUUGAGAACUAAGGAGCUGAGGUAUGGAAGGCACUUCACUCACUACAGGCACUUAAGAUUAGGAAUCAUUUCCGUUGACCACAGAGGAGCAGGAGUUUCGCAGAACGGGAAAGGGAGCACAAGCCAAAGGCCAGCACCAAGUCUGAACAGUCAGCGUAUCUGGAGUUGGGCCAGGACCAUAGAGACUGUGAUCUAGGCAACGGUAGAUGGAGGCUGUGUGACACGGGCUAGAGCAUGGUCUUAGAAGAUUCUCCAGUGUCUCUCUUCAGACAUUCGGGUGGGAAUGGGUUCCAGGAGAACCUUAAAGGAAAUGACAGGGGUAAGUUGAGUUCUAGGAUCACUCUAGACAGAGUAUGAGAAAUAGACAUGAGGGCAGGUUGCAGUGAGGAGCUGGGUGAGCAGAGGAGCCACAAGCAAAGGCAGUGGUUAAAGGUAUGCCCUGCAGAAAAAAGCAUAGAGCGCUGGGGUGUGGCACACCCUUGAGUUGCAUACAGUAAGGUCUGGGGCAAUAGGGCCUUGGGGGAGAGUGGAAAAGAAAGGGGGUGAGUUCUAAUGAAAGAGGGAAGAAGGAUAUUCGCAGUCCCAGGGCAUGUGACAAAUGCCGUUAGUGAAACCUAGAAAUGUUUGCAUGGUGGGUGGUGGGCACAAAUCUCACUGAGAAAAUGCUACCAAGCCCAUUGAAAACUGAGCCAACCAUAUAAAUAGAAGGAAAAAUAUCUUAGGGUGGAGGGACCAUUGUGAUGAUGCUCUGUGGUAGACCUGGGUCCUUCGGUGGAACUAAGGUAAGGCUAGUGGUAUGCCAUGCUCAUGGGAGACUCCAGAUGGAUGUAUGCUAUGCAACAACUGUGCGGAGAGAGCAGGUAUAUAUACAGGGUCAGAGUAGAGUUCAGGCAUGUGGGUGCUAUGGUGCCAGGGGAUUAUGGGAGGCAAGCCUCACUCCUGCUGGUUGUUUAGCAUGAAUAAGGAAACUCUUGGUUCAGAAUUUAGCAAGACACACACACACACACACACACACACACACACACACACACACAGAGUCUCGUGUUGGCAUGGAAGACCUCAGGUCACUGUAUGACACAUUCCUGAUCUAGGAGCAUCUUCCGUGGAGGAGGUCCUGUGAUCCAUGAUCCAUUCACUUACCUCUACUACUGUCAGAUGGGCAGAGAUUAAUCUGUAAGGUUAUAAGCCCGGGGUGCAGUCUCUCCUGUAUCAGUGACUUGUCUAGUGUCCUUGGGUAAGUCGAUAGUAGUUCAUCACAAAGUGGAGAUGAGAAGUCAGUCAUACCUGUUAUGAUCUGAGCAUGUGGUCGGUGAGGAGGAUGUCUCCUACAGGAGUUCAAGGUCAUUUUUGACUAUGUAAUGAGUUGGAAGGUAGCCUGAGUUAGAUGAAAUCCUGUCUCAAAAAAGAAACAGGAGGAAGGAGGGAAGAAGGAAAAGAGGGAGACAGAAAGAAAGAGGUGACAGUUCCUAUCUUGACUACUUAUGGGUCAGCUAAAAUAAUAUGGAAAGGGUGUUACCAUUAUAUAACGAGAGUAAGAUACCAUUAUCUGAAUGAUAAAUGGCAAGGCUUAGGGUAAACAAGGCCCAUUGGAAACAUUGAGAUCCCAAGUUCAUGGACUUCAGCAUUUUCCUGUGCACCUUCUCUGGGCCAGGUACUGAUUGGGACACACAGAACCAGAAGUAGUCCCUGCCUUUGUGGAGACUCAACCAAGAGACGAGACCAAUGGUCAAAGGAUGGCCAGGCAGGGAAACAUAAGGUCAGGUCAAGGCCAGCCCUCCUCUCCUGACUGCCAUUGCUUGCCUCUGCUGAGCUUGGAAUUUACUCAAACCCCGGAGCCCUUGGUCUGUACCCAUUGUGGGUCUAACUCAGCCAAGAGGCUCAGUGGACAGUAGAUUGGCCAAUAGACAAGUCAUUUGUCAGGGAACGAUAAAUAAGAAAGUCAAGAUGAGGCAAUAUUGCUGCUGGAUAUGAGAUGAAUCGGGUCCUGUGAAUCAGAGAGGAAGGGCAUAUAUUCAGAGGUUCCAGCAUGGGAGUGGAACCCCGGUAUGGCUGGAAAGGGGAUGUAGAUGGUAAGUUAAGGGGAAGGGAGGAGGUGGAGUUGGAAAGUUGACAACAGGAUCCAAAUCUGGGGAACCUUCUGGUUCAGCACAGGAAUCUGGCUUCAUCCUGUGCCAGUGGAAGGUUGGGAAAUGGGACCAUAGGGGUUGGGGAUUUAGCUCAGUGGUAGAGCAUGUCCUUCUCACAAGCGCAAGGCCCUGGGUUCGGUCCCCAGCUCUGGAAAAAAAAAAAAAAAGAAUGGAUCUGGGAAAUGGGGCCAUAAAACCUAGUCCCUAAUGCCAGGCAUGAUGGUACAAACUUUUAAUUCCAGCACUCAGUAGGUAGAGGCAGGUGGAUCUCUGAAUUUGAAGCUAGGCUGGUCUACAGAGAGUUACAGGACAGCCAGAGCUACACAAAGAAACCCUGUCUUGGGGGCUGGGGAUUUAGCUCAGUGGUAGAGCGCUUACCUAGGAAGCGCAAGGCCCUGGGUUCAGUCCCCAGCUCCGGAAAAAAAGAACCAAAAAAAAAAAAAAAAAAAAAAAAAGAAAGAAAGAAAAGAAAAGAAACCCUGUCUUGAAAAAAAAAAAUCUAGUCCCUAGUUUAGACCCUUCAAUGUGGGAACCAAGGGCUUCAGAGGGCGUUCAAGAGCUCUCUUAUCAUCUGGCUUCUAGCUAUGACCACAGCUUAUGUCUUUUGGUUCAGAUUGGAUCUAGAUGGAAAACCAGACGCACAGUUAGAACUUUAAAAAAAGUUGCGAGGCUGGAGAGAUAACUCAGCAGUUAAGAGUAUUAGGUGACCUUUUAAAGGACCUGAGUUAAAUUCCCACCAUCUACAUGACAGCUCACAACUGAUCAGAACUCCUGUCCCCGGGGGUCAGAUCCACUCUUUUGGCUUCAUUCCCAGCAUGUACAUGGUGUGCAGACAUACAUUCAGGCAAAACAUCCACACACAUAAAAAUAAAAUAAGAGAGAAUGCUGACUUGGGACUUCUGCCCUGUAGGAUGGUGGGUGUCGGGGCUCCUAAUGGGUAUUAACUUCUGGUUUUCUCUCCACAUAUCUAAGCACCCUUAGAAUUUUAUGAUAGCCUGUCUGCUCUUCACAAGGACAAACUGGCCAGCUAUAAGAUGUGUACUAAGCCUGUGUCACCUCUCCUUCAUUGCUGCACAUCCCGGCUCAUGAACACUUUGAACAACCAGAUACCGUUCAAGACACACAUCCAAGAAGGGCUUGACCAGGCUAAGCAUUACUAAGUGUGCAGUCCUAAUAUUCCAUACCAGUGCCAGGCUGCUAUUAGGUUUUUGGUUUUGUUUUCCAAGACAGGAUUUCUCUGUGUAACUGACCUGGCUGUCCCACUUGCUAUGUAGACCAGGCUGGUCUCAAACUCCGAAAGAUCCAACUGCCUCUGCCUCCCGAGUGCUGGGAUUAAAUGCCUGGCAGGUUGCUCUUAGAAACCGUGUGCAUAGCCUUGUGUUUCUAUGGAUGUGUGUACAGACUGCAUGGGCCUCCAUCACAUAGACUGGGGAAUAAAUGGGGGUUCACGGGCAUAGAGGAUGUCUGUCCUAGAGGCACAGGAAGAAAAAAAAAAAAAAACAUACGCCAGGUUCCUAUCCAACCUCAAACCCACUGCAAGAGUGACUGUCACGCCAAUCUGCAACUGAGGUGCAGAGAGCUGAAGGGGAACAUCCAGGAUCACACAGUAAAUGUACACAGGCAGAACCUCCCUAAUGAGAAAUCUGAAGUGCUUCUGGUUUUGCUUCUGAUUCCGAGUAUUUUAACUGAUGGGUGCUCAGCCUGUAGGAAAGCUGACUUUACAUCCCAACCUCUCUAGGCUGCAACCCACAGACUUUCCCACCUCUCCCAUCCCCACCGACUGCAAGAGCCUGGAACACAGCACCACUUGGGUGACAGGGGGUUCUUCCAUCAUCCCCCCCACUUAGGCACCUCCCACCGCCCUGUGAGGAUGCUCCUGUCUUGUCAUGGAUAAGACUAAGUAAAUCUCAGGGAGCUGACGGGUAUCAGGGAUUGGGUAGGAUUUAAACCAAUUAUGCUCAUGGCUAGGGCCUUUGAGGUUCAACUGAGGGCAGGCUCACCUCACUUGCAGAGAGGAGGAGGGCAGAGGUUUGGGCAAGGGAAAGGCAGUCUGGCCUGGCUCACUGGCUUGGAACUCAUCUUCUUCUUCCCUUGGCAGGAAUUUGCCAGCUGGAGCUGCUAUGUGGCAGGCAAGGCUGCACCCUCUCAGGCUUCCUCCCAUUUCUAAGCCCUUCACUGUCCUUUUAGACAUCCCUACAUGCCACGUGGUCAUGGGGGGCCAGAGAGGGUGCAGUCUUAAUUCCCAGCCUAUAGAAGGUGGACUUUGUCCCCAGAGCACUGGGGAACCUGGGAGGAUUUUAGCGAGGGGAGGCGUGCUCAUUCUGUGUUCUGAAGGAUCACAAACAAGAGCACCUUCACCCACCACCUUCAUGGCCCUGUUCCUGAUCACCUCUGCCUUAAAUUAGAUUCCCUACAGGGAACGGCCCUCGCAAAUUGGGUAAUUUGAGGAAAGUUUAAUACAAAGACCGUUUUCAAAGCUGUGGGCAUGAAUAUGGGAGACUUUCUCCAAAACUAUUGACAUUUAAGGUCCAUGGACAGAAGAGGCAAAGGGAGAAGGCUCUACAGAGAGGGAGUGAGGGGAAACGGCUGCCCAAUAGGAGCUGUGAGCAAAGAACCCAUGGUAACCUGGCAGGGUUACUCUGCCCUUCCCUCCUUCCCCCAGGCUAACGGCAGGAUUUCUGGCCAUCCAGGCGGUGAUGCAAGCCCCUUGGUGUCGGCUAUGCUGGACACCCAAGAGUGCAGAAUAGUUAAAGGUGGAGACUCUGGGCUGAGAGUGAAUGGAGGUAUGCAGCACAUGGCCCUAGGAAGACCCUACCCCUCCCUGUGCCCAAUCAGAUCCCUUGCUUCUGCCCUUCAUGGGCCUGUAACAGCCAGUGCCGACAUACUUGUCUUCCCCCUUGGAGAGCCUGCUGUGAGUCAGAAGGAGGGUCACAGACCUCUCCGGGUCCAGUGUCUAACUCUGGGACUGGUCUGUGCACACAAGGGACUUGGGUGAUGAGUGGAAGGAAUGGAGGGACAGAGGAGUGAAUGAUGGUGACACAGUGAGAACAAAAUGAAGGAGAUGCAGGGCCAAGACUGGAAUUUUGAGAAACGCCAAGGCUUGGGAUCAUCAAGACUCAAUGUCACGGAUAGAGGGUAGAGGAAGGGAAAAGACUGAGAGACGGAGACGCUGGCCUUCAACCCAGAGCCAAGAGCACACCUGCAGUGAGGCCAUCCCUUCGGGGGCUCAGAAGUUUGAUGAACAACAGAGCUAAUCCCCUUGGGAACUGGCUAUCAGAGUAGCCCCAGGCCCCUUUUAGAAUGUUCUGUUGCAAUACGUACAGAGAGCCCCCUUGCAUCAUCCUGUCUGCAACAUUCUUACUCAACUCACCCAAGGCCUUUUCCCCACAGGGAUGGGGGUAGAAGGCUUACACAUAUUACUGAGAAUUCACAACACAUCCAGGUUUCAUGUGCCCUUCUAGCUGGCUCACCGUCUCUGAGACCCCCAGUCACGUGCUCUUCCAGAGCAUAGAUCCUAGAGACGCUUGCUUCUGCUGAUUCCCAGCUCUUCUUUAUUGUUGCUUAUCUGUACUCAGGCUGCCCUUGACUCCCAGUAAUCCUCCUGCCUCAUUCUCCCAUGAGAUCCCAGGCAUCAGCCACUACAUCAGACUUGGUGUCUUUGAGAAGGGUUUCACAAAGUAGCUCGGGCAGCUCUCUGAUAUUCCUGCUUCAGCCUCUCGAAUGCCGGGAUGCCCCUCUGUGCCUGGCUACUCCAGCACUUUACAACUCACACCCUGUAUUCAAGUGCAGCUUUAUUCAGAAGCCCAAGAGGUGACAUGUGUGCCAGGGAUGGUCUAGCUUAGCAAGGGUGACCCCAAGGUUCCGUUUGGUCAACCCCAUACAUGUUUAACCCUCUUGCCCGAGUCUUCAAGGGGUGUGGGAAGCACCAUUUGAAAACUUCUAUGGUGUGGACAUCAAGUGCUGCACCAGGGACAUGCUGAAGGCAGUUGGUGAGACCUGUGGGUCACACAAGAUAGAAUACAUUAGUUCUAAUGCACUAGACUCCUCUUAGACCCAAAGUACCAGGUAGGUUUUCAGUACAGGGCCAUCAGAUUAUUCUUUAUGGUAGUUCUGAGUAUUGCCUAAUCAAAGCAUUUCUAAUGUACACACACACAGACCUUCACUGGAGUCCCAAACGACAACAAAGGCCCUGACCUUGCCAUUUGUUCAUGUUGCCUUUCAUGCCUUGGUUUUCCUACGCUCCAUUCACUGAAAGUACAGUGGCCCCUGCUCCUUGAGCUGUAAUAGGGAGUGAUGUUAUAAACAGUGCCUAGCACAGGGCCUGGGGCACAGUUCUUCACUGCCAUCCAUAGAAGAACCAUAGCUAAAAACUGAGUGAGCAGUACAGGGCUUCCUGCCUGCAGAUGCAGCAAUGUGUUCAAAAGGGUUUUACUCAAAUACCACAGGAGUAGAAAUGGGGAAAUGUCCAGAGAAGCCAGGACAACUGGAGGAGACCAGAAAUGACAGAAAUGCUACCCUCAGCCCAGGAGAGGACCACUGCUCAGCAGGAGAGGACUGCAACUCAGUAGGAGGACCGUGACACAGUAGGAGAGGACGGCCACUCACAAAGAACACUGUGAGGGGGACCUGGAGGGAGCAGAUGCCACAACAGCAGCUUUCUUAGGAGGUUUGCAAAAGGCUGAGACUUUUUUCCCAAACAGAGCCUCCUCUAGUAAGUCCUGGGCCACCCAGUCAGACAGAGAUGGGUAAGAUUCACCCUGCUUGCAACUUAGGGAAGCACCUCUGAAUGCAGAUGACAUAAACAGGUAGAGGAAGUUAGAAAUGCCAGUAAAAGGUAGCGAGGGGGGCAUUGGGCAACUGAUAUUUCGUGGAGGAAAGACGAAUUGAGUCAAUCUCUGUGUGCCCAUAAUUACUACUGCACUGCACUCUGAGUCGCAGCCUUUAGGGUACGUUACAAACACCCUUAAAUUGGACUGGGGAGAUGCCUCUCAGCUGAUAGAGUACUUGCCAUGCUAGCACGAGGACCUGAUGCCCACAUAAAAAGCUAAGAAUGGUGGUGCAUGCUUGUAACCCAAGCACCAUGGAGGCAGAGGCAGGAGCUGUCUGGCCAGCUGGCUUAGUCAAAUCAGUGAGCUCCAGGACAUCUAACCACAUGGCUGAGCUGUCAAGUAACAAAUGCACAUGCACAUACAAUACACACACAAACACACACAUAACACACACACAAUACACACACACAAUACAUACAUGCACAUGCACACAACACACAAUACACACACACAUGCACACACACACACACACACACACACACACACACACACACACACCACACAUCAUCAGAUGCCUGGGUCCACUCUGAGAGUUUCUGAUUAUGCAGGUCUGGAUUGAGAACCCAUAAUUUGUAUUUCUACCAAGUCCCCAGGAAUUGCUGAUGGUGGGUUGCAGUUUAUCCUGUGAGAACAGCACCCUCCCGCAACUGCACUGGUGAGAGACCAUAGUGGAGUGUGGGUUUGCUCUGUGUUACAUUGCUCAAGCGGUCCUGGUUAUAGACCUUGUGUUUAGCAUGCCCUGAGAUCCAUCCCCAGCACUACAAAGUUCUACUGGUCUGCCAUGAAUCUUGCCUCCAGAACUCUGUGGUCUUGCAGGGGGCGGAGCCGGUAUUCAUCUGCAGAAGCACUGAGAGCCUGGAGGUGGUGACCCAUCAGAGGAAGUAUGACAGGUAAGAUUCCUGGGCCCAACACAAGAUCUGACAGAAGAUGGACAGCACAGACACUUGCGUUAUCUAAGGAUGAAGGAUGAAUCAUAUCUCAUUGUCCCCUCCCACUUCAGCAGCCAUGUACACUCAGUGGACAUGGACCACACAGUUUUAAAUCUUAGAACAGCGGAUGCUGUUCGUUCAUCCACUGAUGAAUCAAUGGUGGCUCAUUCUAUCACUACCCUGUUCUUUGCCAAGUUCUGUGUGAACUGGGGAAGAACCAGACUCCAUCUCUGCCCUCCUGGAGCUUCUACAGUUCAAGGUCAAAUAGGUGUGUGGUCUGCACUGUCUGCGCUGGAGUGUUCUGUGAAGAGUCCUUUGGGGAAGAUGCUAACAAAUGAUAAAAAUUUAGAUCUAGCCUUGUGCUGAGCACUAAUGUGCAUCAUGUUCUGUGACCAACGUGACAGCUUUGAACAUGAGUUCAUGACAACCUUAAAGCAGAGCUGAGACACUGAGACUCAGAAAGGAGGUGACAAGGUAGAGGAGGAGCCGGGUCUUAAACCCUGGUUAGCCCAAAGCUAAGGCAGUGCUUGGAACUACAUGGGCAGAGGUGAAGAGACUAAAGAAAGGGGUGGAGGGAAGGAUUUGGGGAUUUUUACAACAGUUAUUAGGCAAUCCCCAGAAUUAAGUCUGCCACUUCAGCUGUCAUCUCUUGUGUACCUGAUAUUGAGAAAUAGAUUCAGACCCAAGAUAAACUCAGGGGAAUUUGAACUCAGUUAGCUAGCCCAGUUUGUUCUCUGAUAGGUUAACCUCACCCCACUUGGGACCAGAGGUUUCUUGUCCACAGUAGUUGACACACUGUAGCCCUCCCCUUUCCUCUUGCCUGGCCUCAAACUCACUAUUAUACAACGAGCAGUUGUGGAAGAAAUGACCUGGCUACUUCCGAGGCCCUCCACUAAGACGUUUAGUCUUAAGUAUCAAGUACACUGCCAUGUGGCUGUUUUCCCUAGCCACUUGCUUUUAUUUUACUGUGUAGGGGCUGUGAUGAUUAUUUUUCCUUCUUUCUUUUUCUUUUAAAAAGAGAAAUGGUUUAUUUUGGCGACCACUUCAGGUUACAGUUCAUCAUCAGCAAGAAGUCAAGGUGGGAACUCAAAGCAGCGAGUCGAGUAUGCAUCGAGAACAGAGAUAACAAUGUAGACACCCUUGGCUCACUUUUAGCUCUCUAAAGUAGCCCAGGAAACAACUCUAGGUUAUUGUGCUGUCACUGUUGUACUUUCUGGAACUAGACUAGAGGGAGUUUUGAGGAGGAAUGCACGGUAAGUUUUAUUACCCAGCCGUAUGUACCUCAGAAUGAUGCAUUUUUUUUUUUUUUUUUUGGUUCUUUUUUUCGGAGCUGGGGACCGAACCCAGGGCCUCGCGCUUCCUAGGUAAGCGCUCUACCACUGAGCUAAAUCCCCAGCCCCAGAAUGAUGCAUUUUUAAGCGAAGGUGUAGCAGAGAGAAAAUAUGAGUCUUCGUUUGAAUAUGGCUCUCAGCAUAAGCAGAUAAGCCCUUCACUGACAAUUACAUUAGUAGGUAACUUCCAUGUCUAAACACCAGCAUUAAUUUCAGUUUGGAGUGUUAACACUGGAACAGAGACAGGAGCAUGAGUACUGAGAAAACAUUCAUCACUGGAGGUAGAAAGAUAAAACAUAUCUUUAAUACUCUAGAUCGUAUUUGCUUGUGCCAUAAAUUAUUAGUUUCUCAGUGUAACAAGUAACGAAAAUGUCAUUAGAUACCAAUGACUAUACACCCUACAUGACUACACAGUAUUGCCUCAGGAUGGCUUCUCUUUUUUUGGCACUAAAGAUCUGUUAACGUGAGCUCAAAUCUUAAUGUGAUUUCUGAUUUAAUUCUGUUGGAAAGCAAUAGCUCUUUUUCAGCCCUCACACUGAUGGUCUGUGUGUCUUUACUCCUUGUUUUCCUUGAUGAGUACUAUCUUCUCAACCUGUCUUCCAUUUCAGUCAACCCUGCCUUUUAUCUUAAUGCCUUUCUUCUGCUUCGCUUCCCUACAAUUUGCUCUUUCCUCAACUUAUUGAUGCUAAGCCUUUCUUGGUUUUGUUGUUGCUGCUGCUGUUGUUGUUGUUCUUGCUGUUAUUUUGUUUGUUUGUUUGUUGUGGUGAUGGUGUGAGAGAGUGUGUGUGUGUGUGUGUGUGGUGUUGUUUUUGUUUUGUUUUUUGUUUUUGUUUUUGUUUUUUUGAGACAGUCUCACUAUAUAGCCCUGGCUAUCCUAGAAUUUGCUCUGUAGACCAGGCUGACCUCAAACUGACAGAGCUCCAUCUGCCUCUGCCUUCUAAGUGCUGGGGUUAAUGUAAGCAUUUAAUCCGCUCUAAAAACUGCUCUAGCUGCGCCCCAUAAAGCUUGAUAGGUUGUGUUUACACUUUCACUCAGCUAAAAGUAUCUACCUUUUCCUGUGGAAUUUCUCCCUCGAGUUUGUUUACUCGGAACUGUCUUGUUUCCAAGCAUUUGGGGGAGGGAAUUCAGCUUCACCUCUAGUAGCUUCAUCCCAUUUUUGUUAUGAGUCACAAUUUGUAUGGCUUCAAUUUGAUUGACUGAUUGAUUAACUGAUUGAUUGUUAAGAGAACUCCACCUGUCAAACUCCAGUUGCUGGCCUCACCCUCAGCUUCUCAUGCUCUUGCGUGAUUUCCCUGUGUAAAGUUUAAGAGCCUUUUAUCCUCCUUCACACCUUCUUUUGGAUUACUUUAGUGUUGUGUUUACCUCUUUUAAACGUUUAAAGCUAGCCUGGUGCUACAGCUCCUCAGGAGGCUAAGUCUGAAAUAUCACAAGUUCAAAGCCUGUGUGAGUUACAGAGAGAGUUUAGGAACAGCUUGGGUAACUCAGUGUGACCCUGUCUCAAGAAAAAAAGAGAAAAAAGAAAAGAAGAGAAAGAAAGAAAGAAAGAAAGAAAGAAAGAAAGAAAGAAAGAAAGGAAGGAAGGAAGGAAGGAAGAAAGAAAGAGGAAAAGAAAAAGAAAAAAUAAAAGAGGAAUGGGAAUAUCACUCUGGCGAGAGCUUGCCUCAUUUGCAUAAUGUUCAGGUUUAAUUCCCAGCAUUGACAAUAGAGUUAGUAAUCUGAGGUUUACACCACACACCUCAAGCUUAUUAGUCUACCUUUGAGUAAUAUUGUAGGGAAAUAUUUCCCAUUUCCUCCUUCCUCUCCUUUGUACUAUGUUCUUACACGUAUUCCUCUGCAGACAUUAACAUCACCACAGUAUGUCAUUAUUGCCUUUAGUAGUUGCCUCUUUUUUUAAUGCUAGGAAUUGGACCCAAUGCUUCACAUAUCCUUAGUCAGGGCUGAACUACCGAGCUACAUCCAGAGUCCCAGUUGUCUCGUAAGGUGAUUUAAAAUGAAGCGAGUUCUUUAUUUGCCUUUCUGCUGCUGCUGUAACAGAACAUCUGGAACUGGAUAAUGUAUUACAAAAAGAGGGUUGUUUGGGGGUAAUGAUUCUGGAUUCUGAGAAGUCCAAGAUUAAGUGUCCACAGUGAGUGAGGGCUACAUGCUGUCUGAACUCAUGUCAUAAACCAGUAGUGUACACAAAGUGUGUUCUAAAGACAUAGUGAAUCCCCCAGAACAAACAUUCAGUCCAUGAGGGCUCCACCUCCAUGACCCAGACCCAAUAUUGAGAAAUUGCAGUUCCAACUUGAAUCUGGGUGGUGGAAGACACUUGAGCAAUAACAAUGGUCUUUUAUGUUUACUUUUUGUUUUCUUUUGGAGUUGUGUAAGUCUAGAUUUCCAUUUGGGGAUCAAGUAUAUUGGGUUUUUUUUUGUUUUUGUUUUUGUUUUUUUCGGAGCUGGGGACCGAACCCAGGGCCUUGCGCUUCCUAGGCAAGCGCUCUACCACUGAGCUAAAUUCCCAACCCCGUUGUUGUUUUAAGACAGGGCAUCUAUAUAACCCUGGCUGUCCUAGAACUCUGUAUGUAAACCAGACUGGUCUCAAACUUAAGGAGAUUACCUCUCUGCCCCUCUGCCCCUCUGCCCCUCUGCCCCUCUGCCCAUCUGCCUCUCUGAAUGCUGGGGAUUAAAGCUUGUGUCACCAUGCACGGCUCAAACCCUUCCUUAGCCAUCCUUUUGCAGUGAUCUUUUCACCGAGGUGGAAUUGUGAGAUCUUCAGCAUUCAGAGUCCCUCAGUUGUACUCUGACUUGCAAACAUGUGGUGGGAGCCUGAUGUCAAUAUUGCCUUUGUUCUUUUGUGUAUAACUUUCCCCUGUAGUUACCUUUAACCUUUAGUUUUUGUCUUGUUUUUGUCUUUGGCAGUUUGACCAUAUAUCUAGGCAUGAGUGUGUUUUGUAUUUAUCCUUUGGGACUUUUUCCUAGAAUUCUUGGGUCUGUGAUUUGUUGUCUUUCAUUGAAUUUGGAAAAUUCUCAGCUAUUAUCUCUUUGAAUGUGUUCUCUAGUCUCUUCUCUCCUGACCCUUCCCCUGUGUGUGUAUUUGGACUGUUUUCUAUUGUCCCACAGCUCUUAGUUGUGUCUUUUCUUUCCUCUUUUUCUCUUUGUCUUUGGAUGUGACUAUUCCUAUAGUGAAUGUUUACUUUCUUCCUCAGCUGUUUUCAAUUUACUGGUGAAUGCUUUUUCUUUUUUGCUUUUUAACAUUUAUUUAUUUACUUAUAUGUGCAUAUACGGAAGCACCUGUGUGGAGACCAGGGGAAUGCCUGCAACAGUUCUCUCUGUCUCAUCACCACAUGGGACCCAGGAAUUAAUUUGAUAGCAAGCUCCUUCCCCAACUAAGCCAUCUGGUCAACCUACUACUUCUUCAGCAUAUUAUUUAGUUCUUGUAUUUAAUGUCAUUAUUUUUAUAAAUAGAUUUCACAUCUGUUAAUUCCCCAUCAUCUCACACAGGACAUCUAUGGUUUCUAGUGGAACCAUUCACUGUAACCAGAGUUACGUCUCUGCUUUCAGGCUCUGACCCCCUCCAUUCCCACUCAUUUGUGUGCUUUAUUUCUUGACAGUGGAAGAUUUUUUUCCUUCCUCUUCUUGACAGAAUAUCAAACAUCACACACAUGGAACAGGAGGCAAAACUGAGGUAAGUUGAAUUUGUGACUGGAAAUGGACAAGAGCAUCACUGCCUUUCUCUCAGGACAUGGGCUGGAGCCACCACUCAGCUCUGGGCUAAGUAGGGGAUUAUUACUGCCUCGUUGCAACCUUUUCCAGUGGUUGGCAGCUGUCCCUUUGUGCUGAGGAUGACCUCUGGGGAUGCAUCGUGAUCUCUCUCCAACCCCAUUUUGUCAUGAUGGCGCUGAGCUAUAACUCACACGUUUAAAAGUCACACAGCUCAGUGGAUGUCACAGAGUCACACAAUCAUCACAGUCUAUUUUUAGAACAUUUCAUCACAGGAAAGAAAAUCCCAAGCCCCGCAUUUUCCGGGAACUAAAGGGAAGGGAAAAUCGCAAGAGAGUUUUUGUUUGGGGAUUUUAACCUUCUGGCGAUAGAGCCUCGUUGCUAGUGCAGUGGGUAAAGUGCCCUCACCACUCCAGAUGCUUAUGGUGGUAAAGGUGCACCGUUACAUCCAUUGAGCCAAGUGUGUGUGUGUGUGUGUGUGUGUGUGUGUGUGUGUGUGUGUGUGUGUGGUGGGGGGAGAGAGAGAGAGAGAGAACACACACAUAUCAACUAUUCUCUCUUCCCCAUCCUGCCCAGUUCUAAACCGGAAGUGCUAUGCUUCCCACUCUGAGUAUUUCUUUGGCAGUUGAACAGCAUAUUCUUUUGUGCCUCUUUCACACAGCAAGCUUCAAGGUCCACCAAUUUGAAUCAUGAAUGGCACUGCACUUCUUUUCAAGAUCAUGUUAUUUGGUCUUAGGUGUACUGUAUCUGUUUAGCUGUCCAUCAGCUGAUGGGCAUACAGUUUUUGUCUAACUCUAGGUAGGCUACAAUGAAAAACAUCACUAUGAACACUUGUGCAUACAUUUUUUUUUUUUUUGGUUCUUUUUUUCAGAGCUGGGGACCAAACCCAGGGCCUUGCGCUUCCUAGGCAAGCACUCUACCAUUGAGCUAAAUCCCUAACCCCUUGUGCAUACAUUUUUAAGUGAACACAGGCUCAGUUUUCUUGGUGUAUAUGCACCUUGUAGUAACUUCCAGCUGAAUCAGUCCAGCCUAGAGGGAGACUUCUUAAGAUUCAGGAAGAAGGCAACUCACAAGUCUCAGGAAGGCCCUAAAACUUUUCAGAUUCACAAGGUCACUUCAUCCCUAAAUCCACAUUAGUAAGAAACACUACUAGGGAAGAAGCUCACCAAUCUGUCCAAAUACCUGCACAUUGCCCAGAGAUCUAGGAUUGAGCCUAGGGCUUCACAUAUGUUAGGCAAGCACUCUGCCACUGAAUUGUAUCCCAGCUAAAGCUAAAAACUCUUUAGUUUUAAAUUUUGAAACAGGCUCUCACUAAGUUGGCCAACCUGCCCUUGAGUUCUCAGUCUUCCUGUUUCAACCUCCUGAGUAACUUAGAUGGCAGGCCUGUGUCCCUAGACUAGCUGAGAGUUGGAGUGUUUUCAUGUCUUGUUUUUUAACAUAAAGAUGUAUCGAUUUUUAAUUUGUGUAUAUGAGUGUUUCCCUUGCAUGUAUACACUAUAUGCAUGCCUGGAGCCCACAGAGACCAGAAGAAAGUGCCAGAUCCCUUGGAAUUGGAAUUACAAAUGGCUGCGAACCAUCAGCUCAGUACUGGUCCUCUAGAAGAGCCCCCAGUACUCUUAAGGACUGAGCCUUCCCUACAAAGCCAUGUUUUCACACCCCUGACAAUACUUACCAUCUGGCUUUCUGACUGGAUACAUGCAUUUGGUAAGAGUGCUAUCUAAUUAUAGUUUUGACUUGUAUUUCCCUUGUGUAUCACAGUGUUUUGUCCUGAUUUUGUAUGUGACUAUUGGUCAUUUGUUCAUCUUCUUUGGAAAAAAAAUUCUUUCCAAAGUCUUUGUUGGUUGGUUUUUUGUUUGUUAUUUGUUUGUUUGAGUCAGGACCUCACUAUGUAAUUCUGGCUGGCCUGAGACUCACUGUGUAGACCAGGUUAGGGUGAGGCUCUCACUAUGUAGACCAGGCUGGCCUCAUCCUCACAGAGAUUUGCUUGCCUCCUAGUUCUAGUAUUGCACCAUAUCCUACCUAGACCAUUUUUAAUUAACUAAUUUAUUUCACUGAAUAUCCUUUAAUUAUUGGAUUGUAAGAGCUUUUCAUAAUUUAAUAACAGCUCUUUAGUACACGAGAGAUCUAUUUAAGGGAAGAAUGGUUCAUUUUCAUCUCAGCCCACAAUAAGCUUCCUCCACUGCUGCAGGUUUGAUGUGAGGUAGACCAUCAAGAUGGAAAGAGCAUGCUCUAUAGGAACUUGCUUUGUUCUUGGUGUCUAGGGAGCAGUGAACACAUCAAGAAAGGGCCAGGACCAAGAUGCACCUUCCAAAAGCAGGCCUUCCUCAAACCAGGCCCUCCCCUCCACUCUUCUACUUAUUAACAGCCCAUUCAAGAUUCACAGGGACUCAGUUGGUAGAGUGUUUGUCUAGCAUGCACAGGGCCCUAAGUUUGAUCCCCAGCACCACAAAGUCUGGGCAUGUACCUAGAAUCACCACACUCAAAGGAGGCUACAUGAAACUCUGGCUCAAAAGAAAAAAAAAAAAAACAAGUAAACAAGCCAAUCAGUGAAUUAAAUCAUUGUGUCAAAAGUUCCAUGUCAGUUGUUUUCUGGAAUUGCCCUCUCAGAACCACUCACAGUUCUGCUUGGCCAGUUUCCUAAGCACCUCAACCCCAUGAAGUUGUCAGUCAAAUUAAACCAUUGUUAUCUCCCACUGAAUGGCCCAGCAAUGACUUUCAAGUAAAAGAGCUAAUAGUUUUGAUGCAGUCUUGCUCAGGGCUCACCCCGUUUGGAAGGUUUCCAUAAAUACAUUGUUGUGGGCAGCAUCCCCCCACAGUUCUGCCCUAUUCAGUGUAAACUGCUGUAGGCUUGCUGAUAGUCACCAUACACACAGUGGGGACUCUAUUAAAUGGGUCAAGCUUGGGCAGGCCCAGCUUCAUCUACUCGGUCUUGAAAGUGGGUCUUUCUUAAAGACUUUAGAUGAAAUUUAAGUCUAUUUGAGCAUUAAGACUCAUCAAUUGGACAGCGUUCACAACUGGAAGAGGCCCAGAAAGGUCCAGCGGGACAGCUCAACAGCAAGCUUUUAUAGGCUGAACGAAAAAAGAAAUAAAAUUACCCAAAAAUAAGAUCAGCUACAGAAGGGCAUUUGCCCUUUGGGAAGGAGGCUGGGCCACACAAAGUCCCCAGGUAGAUGUUACUUGGCAGCUUCUGUUGCUUACAUCAACUGGAUUUUGUUGUUUUCAUUACAUGGGAACUCAGGACCUCGAAAUCCUAUCUGCCUACCCCCCCCCCCCCGGCGCCCAGUUAGUUAUUUCACAAACUUUCUCUGUGUCCCUGGAACCUCUCCCAUGGCAGCCACCUGCUGCCUUGGAUCCACAGUUGGUCUUUGGUAGAAGAGAGUUCUCACUCCUCCAUUGUGGUGGCCCCCCUGUGCUUAGGAUCAUCGAAGAAGAAGAUCCAGAUCACAGGAUGGAGACAAUCUCCUGGCCCUCCCCAGGCAGGCUUCCUGUGUCUACCACUCCUACAAGGGUCUCUUAGGACCACCAAGGAAUCGUGUUUUGGGAGCUGCUUGGGCUCUUCUCCAGAGGAAGCAUGCAGAGACAACCUUCUGUUGUCUUUCUAGGGGCUUCUAGCAGACUUUUUUUGCUUUGCAAGUGGUGGGCCAGAGAAAGGGGUAGACUUCCUGACUGCAAAACAGCAUAAAGCCCCAUGCAUCCUUGUGCGUACUCUUACAGUUAGAAUUCUGGAGAGGAGUUUGUAAAUCCAAACCCCUUCUUUCCCCCUCUGGACACCAGAACUUUAUGAGUAAGCGAAGAUGUUUUUAGAUCACUUCUUAGGAGUUUGCACAGAGGCAGUCUCCUGUUGUAUACCCACAAAGAAAGACUCCCAUGAAGGACACUUCGUGACAUGUGGGAAGCCCCAGAGGACUUGUCACGUGUACUUCAAGUCCAAACUUUGCAGAGAGAGAUUAAUGUCCCUUCAAAUUCAAGGCUAGCCUGAACUCCAGAGUGAAUUAGAGCCAGGCUGAACUUAGUGAGAUCCUGUCUCUAAAAAGCAGAAGCCUGAGGCUGCAGCUUGUCUAGCGUGGACUGAGUUCUAGUUUCCGUCCGUAGUGCUGGCGACAAAGAAAAGGAAAGGUGAACUGAGAGAGAAAAGAAAGAGGGGAGGAGAGAGAAGAAAAGGACUGUGUCCCUGUAGGACGGUCCCAACUACAGAACUGUGGGGGGGGGGGGCUGGGCUCAGGCACCCCAUUGGCAUGACCUCAGCCAACCCCCUCUCAGUCUUCUGAGCUGUGGGGUGUAGCUCCCCACAGUGGAGCACUCAGAACGAGAGAGAUCCACAAUUAGGCUGAGUGGUGCGAACCCAGCCUCACCAUACCUUGUAGUGUGGUCCUAACCUGGGCAAGCAACCUCCCCUUUCUGUGUCUUGGUUAUUUCUCCUUCCAGAGUGUUACCCAACUUCACAGAGAUGGUGUGAGAUUAAACAGGACCAUUUAAUACUCAAAAACAAAGCCUCAGCAAGUAACCAUUAACAGUCCCCGCUUCAGCAGUCUCAGCGAUCAAGGUAGCAAAAGCAGCGCCCCUCCCCCACAACACACACACAGGUGGACGGCCUCAGGCACUAACUGCUGGAGAGACCCUGCAGGUUUUGUUUUAUUUGUUUUGGUGAGAGGAUCUGGUAGGCUCAGGUAAUGAAGUGACUCACUUAGGAAGAGGAAGAUAGGUCUGUUUGCUUUGUGACCUCUGGCCCAGUCCCGGGCUGCUUCAGGACAAUCCUGUCUCUAUGGUGGAGGUGACAGCAUUAGGUCUGGGGCUGUUUGAAUCUGUGUCAAGGAGCAAGGGGGUGGGGGAUGGGGAAUAAAGGACAGCUUUGGAACAGUCACAGAGAUGACUAUUUAAAGGACAGCUCACAUAAAUUACCAUCCACAGAAUGUGGGCAAGCGGAGCCCCGGGGUUCCUGGAGCAAAGCUAGCCAUUUGAUCUGGUCUAGCAGGGACAAGGGUGUGUGAGGCACGUAGGGUGCUGUUAAUUCAUUUUUGACAAUAGAGGGAGGGGAAGGAAUUAAAGAAAGGUCACAGAACUCUUGUAGAGCUGGACCUAGUAACUGAGCUCCCAAGGCACUGUUCUUCCCAGACAUCCAGAGAAUAUGAUACCUGUUCUGCAGAUCUCCCUAGCAACUGUGCAUCUCUCAGGUGGGAGCUAGCUCAGUGGAGAGGCACAGGGAUGGGAGCUCCAUCACUCUGACACCAGUCAGAAAAACUCCAGGAAGAGGAAGAAAGGGGAUCUUAUGUUGCUACUUCCUGGUUCCACAAUCCUGAUAGGAAGGCAGAGGAGGUUUGUUGAAUGACUAAAUGACAAAAUUUAUCUUUUAUAUAUUUUCAAGCUCAUUGAAUCUUAAAUCUUUACAGCUUGUGAUAACCUGUGAGUCUCCUCUGCAUUCUAGGUUGGGCACCAGGCACAUAGGAAAUGAUCAAUAAAUCUUUCUUUUUUUCCUUCUUUUUGUUUUUAUUGUUGCUUAUUUGUUUUUGUUUGUUUGAGACAAACUAUGUAGCUCUGGCCGUCCUGGAUGGAGCUCACUAUGUAGAUCAGGUUGGCCUUGAACUCAGAGACUUUUCGGUGGUGGCUCAGUGGUUAAGGGUACCCACUGCUCUUCCAGGGGACCUGAGUUUGAGUCCCACACACACACACAGCAGCUAACAACUGUCAUUAGUUCCAGUUCAGAGGAUUCUACGCCUUCUUCUGACCUGCUUGGACACAAGGCAAGCUUGUGGCGCACAUGUGUAUACACAAGCAGAACACUCAGACACAUAAACUAAAAUAUUGAAGGGAAAGGGAGCAAAGGUGUUGGAGAGAAUGGAAAGUUAGGGUCUAGGCUCUAUGAGAAAGCAAAAGUCCUGGACGUAGCGUGAUUGGUGUGCUUGAACAACAAGACUUAAGUUACCUGUGUUGCUGUAAUUAAAAGAUUAAAAAGUGGGCUGGAAAGAUGGCUCAGUGGGUAGAGGAGCUUGCUGCUGAGCCCAACCCUGAAAAUACAUGGUGGAAAGAGAACUGAGGUGUUCUGAUCUCCAAAUGCAAACCUCCUUCAGCACUGCAUGUUAUAAAUAACAUAUAAAUUGGAAAAGGGGACUCUUACCAAGAUAAAUGCAUUUCUAACUUGAAGAAACAAGAUGGUGUCAGGAUGAGGGCUGUCAGGGAAGUAGGGCAAAGGUGAAGCCUGCAUGACGCUUGUUCACCUCAGGGAAUAGAAGGAAACAGGGUUGGGCUAUGACAAUCAGUAGGACCUGCUGAUACUGAGACAUGCCCACCCCAACCCAGGUGAGCUCACCUGCCCUGUGCAUCCAACUGGGUGCCCAGAACUGUGGCUGAAGCCCCUAGGAAAGGCAUGAGAGGUGGUGCAACUGGACCAGGGAGGUAAAACCCUUUAAAACCUUUCCCACCAGCACGUCCUUUAUGUGGCGUCCUUUGACUGUCACAAAGCCUGGGAGCUUCGUUAAGUCUUCGAGCCACAGGACAGAUUCAGUUAUACAACCUUGGUACAUAACAAGAAUAAAAAUAGCCACCAGAUCUCAGAGCUCUCGGUGUGCCAGGGGCCUGCCAAGUGCUCUCUGUGUGCUAGCUCCCCACCUUAGACCUCACCAGGACCUUUGAGGUCACUCCCAUGACGGUCUUCAUUGACAGGGGUAGGAACCUAAGUCCCGAGCUGGGUCCUGCAAAUCAAACUCAGGUCAUCAAACUCGCAGAGUUGAAGACAUUAUGCCCACACGAGGCCCUGGGAGCUGAAAAGAGUGUUGGAUUGGACAAACAUUCCCAGCACUGACUUUGUGCCAGGUUCCCAGAUCACAGAUUGCACACUGUCCCGGAGAACCCAGACCUCCCCAACACAGGGCCUAGAGAGAGUUUUUCACAGACCCUGGUGCUUGCUGAUUCAGCCAGGAUGAUUGGUGGGAAUGUUCCUGUCUGCACUUCCCAGAGCUGGACUUACAGGAUUUAUGUAUUAUAUAUAAGCACACGGUGGCUGUCCUCAGACACACCAGAAGAGGGCAUCGGAUCACAUUACAGAUGGUUGUGAGCCACCAUGUGGUUGCUGGGAAUUGAACUCAGGACCUCUGGAAGAGCAGUCAGUGCUCUUAACCACUGAGCCAUCUCUCCAGCCCCACACUGUAUUUUUUCUUGGAGUGUGUAUAACUCUCAGCUCCUCCAGCACCAGGUCUGCCUGCACACUGCCAUGUUUCCCUCCAUGAUGACAUUGGACUAAACCUCUGAACUUCCACAGCGGUGCUGGAGUGAAUGGUAUACAGCCACACCUAAGGAACCAGGUCAGGUCUGCUUAGCUUUCUGCAUUUCAUCUACAAAGAUCCCUCAGGAUGACACUGGCAUCCCCAUCAUACAGCUGGUGAAGCAGAGGCCCGUCCCUUCUUUCCUUGCCUCAGUUCCAGCUCCCCUUUUCUGAAAGGUAAACUGGAGAGCUUCCACCCGAGCAUCCACCAACAUUGGAUGCUCCCAUAGCCCUCUGCAGCUUGCAGUUAAAGCCUAGAGGAAACUGUCCCAAAAGUCCAGAAAAGUAAAGUCUGCCUAAAACAUGGGAGACCCAACAUAUCCACACGAGGCUCUGGCAGACCCCAGAAGAGCUCCUGAGCCCAACAAAGACCCUUCCUGAAUCUCUCCAUCAAGCAUCCUGUGCUUCCGCUGAGGCUGCCCUGCCCUUCCCGUGUGCCUGUGGCUACCCUCUUACCCAAGGCCAGGAAGGAGAAGACCCACUGAAGGACCGCGAAGGUCUGUAGCCUGCGCUCCCAUGGUACCAACAGGGGGGCGAAUUCCACCAUGCUGAGCUGGCUCAGGAGGCUCCACACACCCGCUGUACUCUAGGUUGAAGGGGCGGGACCAGCCCCGUCCCGCCCAGCCCUGCUCCGCCCAACCCUGCCCCGCCCAGCCCAACCCAGCGCCAGGGCCCCCUUGCUCCGCCCAUGCCAGAUCUUUUUUCCUAGAGGAAACCUUGGAAUCCCUCUACUGGGACCAGGCUAAAGGAAGGCGGAAGAGAAACCUGUUUCAUCCUUAUCUGUCCUCUUAAGCAAUGUCUUAUCUGCCAAACCACUAUUUCCACCCUCGAGGAUCUGCUCUAGCUACCGUGCAAGAAGAUGAAACCCCAAGGGCAGUGUUUCUCAACAUGUGGGUCACGACGGGGGGCGGGGGGGGUUGUCAAAUGAUCCUUUCACAGGGGUCACAUAUUAGAUAUCCUGAAUAUCAGAUAUUUGCAUUACCAUUCAUAACUGUUGGGAGCGAUGCCCUUGAAGCCCUCCAUUGUUGAUGUUGUUAUUAUUAUGGUUAGAAUUAAGUUUGACUAGGUUCAUGGAAAAUCCCCAGCCAGCUGCAGAAGACUAAUACAAAUCUGGUGGUCAAAAUGAAUAAUAAUAUGAUAACAUCUUACACGUUAAGAUACCCAAUGUGAUGACCUGUAACCUUUCUGAAAAACCAACAUCCUGCUAACUAAUAGAUAGGACAAACCUGUGACUUUUCUGACAUCCUGUCAACAUCAGCCGAUUCCCUGACCACACAAAUAUUGUGUCCUUGGCCUGCGUAAAUGUUUCUUACGUCCCCCCUCCCUCUGUUACCCAUGUUAUGGUAUAAAUUCAGUCUUGGGGAAAAAUAAAAUUGUCGCCUUGAUCAGA